GGGGGCGUAGCUCAGUUGGGAGAGCGCCUGGAUGGCAUCCAGGAGGUCAUGGGUUCGAACCCCUUCGCCUCCACCA
rnacentral:tRNA from 1 species